GAGUUUGAUCCUGGCUCAGGAUCAACGCUGGCGGCGUGCCUAAUGCAUGCAAGUCGAGCGCGGGCCCUUUCGGGGGUGCUGCGCGGCGGACGGGUGCGUAACACGUGGGCAACCUGCCCUGGGGUGGGGGAUAGCCGUGGGAAACCGCGGGUAAUUCCGCAUACGAGCAUCUCUCGAGGGGAGAGGUGCUGAAAGGGAGCAAUCCCGCCCGAGGAGGGGCCUGCGGCCGAUUAGCUAGACGGUGGGGUAACGGCCUACCGUGGCGAUGAUCGGUAGCUGGUCUGAGAGGACGGCCAGCCACACGGGGACUGAGACACGGCCCCGACUCCUACGGGGGGCAGCAGCAAGGAAUCUUCCGCAAUGGGGGCAACCCUGACGGAGCAACGCCGCGUGGGGGAUGACGCGCUUCGGCGUGUAAACCCCUUUUCUUCGGGAAGAAGGGCUUCGGUCUUGACGGUACCGGAGGAAGAAGGACCGGCUAACUACGUGCCAGCAGCCGCGGUAAUACGUAGGGUCCAAGCGUUGUCCGGAGUUACUGGGCGUAAAGCGCGCGCAGGCGGCGGUGCUGGCCCGGCGUGAAAGCCCCCGGCUCAACCGGGGAGGGUCGUCGGGGACCGCACCGCUUGAGGGCGGUAGGGGCUGGUGGAAUGCCUGGUGUAGUGGUGAAAUGCGUAGAGAUCAGGCGGAACACCCGUGGCGAAGGCGGCCAGCUGGGCCGUCCCUGACGCUGAGGCGCGAAGGCGUGGGGAGCGAACGGGAUUAGAUACCCCGGUAGUCCACGCAGUAAACGAUGCAGACUAGGCGUGGGGGGAGUUGACCCCCUCCGUGCCGGAGCCAACGCGGGAAGUCUGCCGCCUGGGGAGUACGGCCGCAAGGCUAAAACUCAAAGGAAUUGACGGGGGCCCGCACAAGCGGCGGAGCGUGCGGUUUAAUUCGACGCGACGCGUAGAACCUUACCAAGGCUUGACAUGCGCCUGCAUCCUCCUGAAAGGGAGUGGCCUUCGAGGGUGGCGCACAGGUGCUGCAUGGCUGUCGUCAGCUCGUGCCGUGAGGUGUUGGGUUAAGUCCCGCAACGAGCGCAACCC
rnacentral:rRNA from 1 species